rnacentral:rRNA from 1 species
GUGAACGCUGGCGGUAGGCCUAACACAUGCAAGUCGAACGGCAGCACAGUAAGAGCUUGCUCUUACGGGUGGCGAGUGGCGGACGGGGGAGGAAUACAUCGGAAUCUACUUUUUCGUGGGGGAUAACGGAGGGAAACUAACGCUAAUACCGCAUACGACCUACGGGUGAAAGCAGGUGAUCUUCGGACCUUGCGCGAUUGAAUGAGGCGAUGUCGGAUUAGCUAGUUGGCGUGGUAAAGGCCCACCAAGGCGACGAUCCGUAGCUGGUCUGAGAGGAUGAUCAGCCACACUGGAACUGAGACACGGUCCAGACUCCUACGGGAGGCAGCAGUGGGGAAUAUUGGACAAUGGGCGCAAGCCUGAUCCAGCCAUACCGCGUGGGUGAAGAAGGCCUUCGGGUUGUAAAGCCCUUUUGUUGGGAAAGAAAAGCAGCAUGUUAAUACCCCGCUGUUCUGACGGUACCCAAAGAAUAAGCACCGGCUAACUUCGUG